ensembl:processed_transcript 5730405O15Rik RIKEN cDNA 5730405O15 gene
UUUCAGCAGAGCCAAGGAAUGGGAGGCGCCCUAGCUUCCCCGCAGGCCACAGCGCUGGGACUCCUGCCUUCCCUGCUAUCUCCCUGAGGCAAGGGGUUGGAGGUUAGCACGGAGUGUUUCUCAAUCAUUUCCCACCUUACAUUUUAAGACAUGGUGUGUCACUGAACCUGGAGCUCCCCAACUCUGCUAGACUGGGUAGGUAGCCAGCAAACCCUAGGGACCCUCCUAUCUCUCAGCUUGUCCAGGAUUUCAAUUACAUGCAUGUAUCACCAUGCCCAGGUGUGUUAUUUUGCUUUGUUUCUUGAUGAGGUCUCACUCUGCAGCCCUGGAUUUCCUAGUACUCUCUGGAGUGCUGUGAUUAAAAGCAUGUACCACUCAUGUCCAGGUUUUUUACAUGGGUCUGGGAACAACCCUGGAUCCUCGUUACCACAUGAUUAUUUCGUUUGGCACUUCUCCCAACGAUGUAUGAGAGUUCCCAUUUUUCUGUAUCCUUGCCACGCCCUGCACAUUUCCUUGGAUUUUUUGCCAUUCUUAUAAUAAGUUAGAGUAGUAUCUUAUUUUUUUACAUUUCCCCAAUGAUAGUAAUGAUACCAAGUAUCUUUCCAAGUGCUUUUUGGCAACUUAGGUACCUUCUUCAGCAAAGUGUGUGGGUUCAUUCCUUGCUAGUGUUUCAGAGUUCUUUAUAGAUGUUAGACAUAAGUCUCUUACUAAAGACAUGCCUCAUCAUUUUCAAUAACCAUCUAAUCCAGCAGUUCCCCUUUCAGGUACAGAUACAAAAGAACUGAAAAUGAAGAGUCAGAGAAAUGUUUUUUUUUUUUUUUCUUUUUAUGGUUUUUGUUUUUUUGAGACAGGGUUUCUCUGCAUAGCCCUGGCUGCCCUGGAACUCACUUUUGUAGACCAGGCUGGCCUCGAACUCAGAAAUCUGCCUUCCUCUGCCUCAGAGAAAUGUUUUAUAGCAUCAUUCUUUACAGCAAGCUAAGUGCUUAUAAAUCCAUAAACCUCUACAGAAGGUGUGCUGUGGCCAUCCAAUGGAAUACUGUUUCUGUGGUUUUGUUUUUGUUUUUUUCUUUUUGAAAGGAAGUUGUGACAAUUGCUCUAGCACAGAUGAACCUUGAGGGCAUUAAGCCCAGUGAAAUAAGCCAGUGACAAAAAGACAAAUGUUGUGAUCACACUUAAAUAAGGUAAGUAGACUGGUCAAGCAGGUAGGGGCAGAAAGCAGAACGCUAGCUGCUAGGGGAUGUGGGGAGGGCAGAAUGGGCAUUUGUUGUUUAAUGGAUGUAAAGGUUCAGUUUUGUAAAAGGAAAAGGUGAGGCUGAGGACAUUGCUCUCUAGCAGAACACUCACCUAGCAGGUCUGAGACCUGAGUGCAAGGUCCAACAGCUCACGCACACACACAUACAUAGGAGAAAGAAGGAAGAGAAGCUACCUUUUACUAAAAACUGUAUUUAUUUGUAUUUUAUGUGUGUGUGCCUGAGUUGCAAGUGCCCACUGAGUGCAGAAGAAAGUGUUGGAUCUCCUGAAACUGGAGUGACAUGUGCUUGUGAGCCACCUGAUGUGCUGAGAGCGGUCCUUAGGCCUCUGCGAUAGCAGCAAGUCCUAUGUAAUGCCUCAUAAUGACUUUUGUCUAGACAGCAAAUUAUCUUUUUAAGGUAUUUACACAAAUAAAAGAUAUUUUGAAAAUUC